rnacentral:tRNA from 1 species
GGAUGGGUGCCCGAGCGGUUGAAGGGACCGGUCUUGAAAACCGGCGACGGUUUACCCCGUCCGUGGGUUCGAAUCCCACCUCAUCCG